UUGUGGUUCCGGGCGGUUCUAGAAUAACGCAGCCCGAAUCUUCCAGGAAGCCACCGCCUUGCAGUGCCCACUACCCGGUGGUGGCGACCUUACCGCGAUCGCCCCUCCAGCCGCACCUGUCUGAGUGCACCGCGCCACAUCCGGUGCACCCGAGCCAAGGCCUGGGAGACCGAAAUAGAAGCCGAAAUAUGAAAUUCCUUGUUGAUAAUAGUCACUCCACCUUGUUACAUACCUACGGAGAAGAGCAUGCAGCAGGCUUUUGAGAUGUAACUCCGUCCACCAGAUAUAGAAGGCAGCAAAAGGCCCCGCUGGAAGGAAGCCCCGUGAGGGGUCUUCAUCAUGAGCUCGGUCGCUCACGGUCCUCACUGAGAACCCGGACCACACGCCAUGCCUUUCCAUUGGCUCCCAUCCUCAAGGUCCGGAGGGUCUCUGUGACGCUGCUGCUGGGACGAAGGGGUACAGGUCCCCCCCACAAGACGUGCCAUGUGUAAUUUAGAACUUAGGAGCUCUCCAUCCUUUGAGGCCCGGGGAUUGAACUCAAAUCAUCAGCCUUAGCCGCAGACUCCCUUUUGCUGAACCAACUCGCUGGCCCUGUUUUGGGGCUUUACAAUUUUAUUUUUACUGUGGGGCUUGUGCCUUCCUCUGCUGGGGUGGGGCUGUGGCAGCCCGUGUUAGCUUGUGUCCUUUUCAUCUUCCCUUCUCCGACCCUUUAGUCAUCCGCUAGCCUGUUCUGUUCAUAAAAUGACUGUGCGAAUGAA